rnacentral:ncRNA from 1 species
GAAGCGUGAACCAAGCGGCGGCGAGAGUCGCGUGAGACUUGGAGCAUGGCCUCGGCAACGAGGCCAUGCA